rnacentral:SRP_RNA from 2 species
GCCAGGUGAGGUGGCAUGUGCCUGUAGUCCUAGCUACUUGGGAGGCUGAGGUUGGAGGAUUGCUUAAGCCCAGGAGUUCUGGGAUGUAGCGCACUAUGCCGAUUCGGUGUCCACACUAAUUUCGGCAUCAAUAUGGUGACCUCUCAGGAGCGGGGAACCACUAGGUUGCCUAAGAAGGGGUGAACCGGCCCAGGUCGGAAACAGAGCAGGUCAAAACUCCAGUGCUGAUCAGUAGUGAGAUCGCGCCUGUGACUAGCCGCUGCACUUCAGCCUGGGCAGCAUAGUGAGACCCUGACUCUU